rnacentral:ncRNA from 1 species
CCGCGGGGACGACCCCGCCGAUUGCAGAGGCAAACCGGGUGGGGACGACCCCG